CCGCCGCCGCCGCCACUGCCGGCCACACGCCGUCGCCGUCAUCGAUCUCUGCAACUAACUGCGAUGCACGGCGGCGUACAGGCUUACCGACGGUGUACUCCAUGACGACGGCGACAGUGAGCACGGCCCAGAGGGCUCCCCAGACCUUGCCCAGUGCCGAGAGGAGCCCCUCCACGCACCUCACCAGGAACUCGACGUAGCCGCCGGUGUCGCCGCCGCCGGUCGUCACCGCCUGCUGAACCUCCAUGGCAGGCAUCACCCUCCACCUGGCCCGCGCCGCCAUCUCCCUCCCCCUCCAUGGAUGCGCCACCGCCA
rnacentral:lncRNA from 1 species